rnacentral:rRNA from 1 species
GACGAACGCUGGCGGCGUGCCUAAUACAUGCAAGUCGAACGAGUGGCGGACGGGUGAGUAACACGUGGGAACCUACCCAUCAGAGGGGGAUAACUAUUGGAAACGGUGGCUAAUACCGCAUACUAUCGGAUGAACCCAUAUGGGAUUAGCUAGUAGGUGGGGUAACGGCUCACCUAGGCGACGAUCUCUAGCUGGUCUGAGAGGAUGCUCGGCCACACUGAGACUGAGAUACGGCCCAGAUACCUACGGGAGUCAGCAGUGGGGAAUAUUGCACAAUGGGCGCAAGCCUGAUGCAGCCAGGCCGCGUGUAUGAAGAAGGCCUUAGGGUUGUAAAGUACUUUCAGCGGGGAGACGUUACCCGCAGAAGAAGCACCGGCUAACUCCGUGCCAGCAGCCGCGGUAAUAC